UACGUAGGGGGCAAGCGUUGUCCGGAAUCAUUGGGCGUAAAGAGCGUGUAGGUGGCUCGGUAAGUCCGCUGUGAAAGUCCAGGGCUCAACCCUGGAAAGCCGGUGGAAACUGUCGAGCUCGAGUCCGGAAGAGGCGAGUGGAAUUCCUGGUGUAGCGGUGAAAUGCGCAGAUAUCAGGAGGAACACCGAUGGCGAAGGCAGAUCUCUGGGCCGUAACUGACGCUGAGGAGCGAAAGCGUGGGGAGCGAACAGG
rnacentral:rRNA from 1 species